GAUAAACGCUGGCGGCGUGCUUCAGGCAUGCAAGUCGAACGGAAUCCUUAGGGAUUCAGUGGCGGACGGGUGAGUAACGCGUGAGAAUCUGGCUCUAGGUCUGGGACAACAGUUGGAAACGACUGCUAAUACCGGAUGUGCCGAGAGGUGAAAGGCUUGCUGCCUAGAGAUGAGCUCGCGUCUGAUUAGCUAGUAGGUGGUGUAAGGGACUACCUAGGCGACGAUCAGUAGCUGGUCUGAGAGGAUGAUCAGCCGCACUGGGACUGAGACACGGCCCAGACUCCUACGGGAGGCAGCAGUGGGGAAUUUUCCGCAAUGGGCGAAAGCCUGACGGAGCAAUACCGCGUGAGGGAGGAAGGCUCUUGGGUUGUAAACCUCUUUUCUCAAGGAAUAAGAAAGUGAAGGUACUUGAGGAAUCAGCAUCGGCUAACUCCGUGCCAGCCGCCGCCGUAAGAC
rnacentral:rRNA from 1 species